AUUGAAUGCUGGCGGAAUGCUUUACACAUGCAAGUCGAACGGUAGAGGGGCAACCCUUGAGAGUGGCGAGCGGGUGAGUAAUGUAUCGGAACAUGCCCAGUCGUGGGGGAUAACGUAGCGAAAGUUACGCCAAUACCGCAUACGAUCUACGGAUGAACGCGGGGGACUCGCGAGAGCCUCGCGCGAUUGGAGUGGCCGGGAUAGGAGUAGGUAGUUGGUAGGGUAAAAGCCUACCAAGCCGACGAUCUGUAGCUGGUCUGAGAGGACGACCAGCCACACUGGGCCUGAGACACGGCCCAGACUCCCACGGGAGGCAGCAGUGGGGAAUUCUGGACAAUGGGCGCAAGCCUGAUCCAGCCAUUCCGCGUGUAGGAAGAAGGCCUUCGGGUUGUAAACUGCUUUUGUACGGAACGAAACGCGCUAGGUUAAUACCCUGGCGUAAUGACGGUACCGUAAGAAUAAGCACCGGCUAACUACGUGCCAGCCGCCGCUGUAACAC
rnacentral:rRNA from 1 species